rnacentral:rRNA from 1 species
UCUACUCUUGGACAGCCUUCUGAAAGGAAGAUUAAUACAAGAUGGCAUCAUGAGUCCGCAUGUUCACAUGAUUAAAGGUAUUCCGGUAGACGAUGGGGAUGCGUUCCAUUAGAUAGUAGGCGGGGUAACGGCCCACCUAGUCUUCGAUGGGUAGGGGUUCUGAGAGGAAGGUCCCCCACAUUGGAACUGAGACACGGUCCAAACUCCUACGGGAGGCAGCAGUGAGGAAUAUUGGUCAAUGGGCGAGAGCCUGAACCAGCCAAGUAGCGUGAAGGAUGACUGCCCUAUGGGUUGUAAACUUCUUUUAUAAAGGAAUAAAGUCGGGUAUGGAUACCCGUUUGCAUGUACUUUAUGAAUAAGGAUCGGCUAACUCCGUGCCAGCAGCCGCGGUAAUACGGAGGAUCCGAGCGUUAUCCGGAUUUAUUGGGUUUAAAGGGAGCGUAGAUGGAUGUUUAAGUCAGUUGUGAAAGUUUGCGGCUCAACCGUAAAAUUGCAGUUGAUACUGGAUAUCUUGAGUGCAGUUGAGGCAGGCGGAAUUCGUGGUGUAGCGGUGAAAUGCUUAGAUAUCACGAAGAACUCCGAUUGCGAAGGCAGCCUGCUAAGCUGCAACUGACAUUGAGGCUCGAAAGUGUGGGUAUCAAACAGGAUUAGAUACCCUGGUAGUCCACACGGUAAACGAUGAAUACUCGCUGUUUGCGAUAUACAGCAAGCGGCCAAGCGAAAGCGUUAAGUAUUCCACCUGGGGAGUACGCCGGCAACGGUGAAACUCAAAGGAAUUGACGGGGGCCCGCACAAGCGGAGGAACAUGUGGUUUAAUUCGAUGAUACGCGAGGAACCUUACCCGGGCUUAAAUUGCAGAUGAAUUACGGUGAAAGCCGUAAGCCGCAAGGCAUCUGUGAAGGUGCUGCAUGGUUGUCGUCAGCUCGUGCCGUGAGGUGUCGGCUUAAGUGCCAUAACGAGCGCAACCCUUGUUGUCAGUUACUAACAGGUUCCGCUGAGGACUCUGACAAGACUGCCAUCGUAAGAUGUGAGGAAGGUGGGGAUGACGUCAAAUCAGCACGGCCCUUACGUCCGGGGCUACACACGUGUUACAAUGGGGGGUACAGAGGGCCGCUACCACGCGAGUGGAUGCCAAUCCCAAAAACCUCUCUCAGUUCGGACUGGAGUCUGCAACCCGACUCCACGAAGCUGGAUUCGCUAGUAAUCGCGCAUCAGCCACGGCGCGGUGAAUACGUUCCCGGGCCUUGCACUCACCGCCCGU